rnacentral:sRNA from 1 species
GUUUCUUUCUGACCGCAAACGAUAGGAAAUAAAUAGAUGCAAAAAAGGCGCGGAAUUCCGCGCCUUUUUA